AAAUUGACCCUAUCUUCUAAAUCUAAACAAAAAGCGAAAAAAAAAAAAAGUCGUAAAUUGACAAUGAAAAGAUAACAAUUAGGAAAGUAAAAAAUUGAGCUAAUCCUUAGCUGCGUUUCUCCACAUGAAAAUUUUGUCGGUAUUUCGAAUGACCACCAGUGUCAUCGAAUUCACCAGCUAAUCGACCUUCUGCAGGACUUCAUCUACCUUUAACCUAAGCUAAGUACUUCGACCCCUUCCUUAUUUUCUUCUAUCUUGUAGCUAGAUGGGUUGAGCUUCUAUCAAAGCUGAUACCACCAUCUGAGCUGCAAGGAAAGAAUUAAGUUAAGAGAUCCCUUCCUUAUUUUAAUGCAGAUUAUAAACUGAAUUUUUAAGUCGAAAUGUUCAAGAUAGAUAUGAUGUUCCUGUUGUUCGAAUAUCCAUCCCAAAAACAUCCCAAAUCUCACUGGAAUUACGUGGCAUAUUAUGUGGAAGUCGCUCCCAACAAUAGGUGACUUUUUAGCAUCUGAAAAUACAUCCUCUAUGUUACUAUGCAUUCCUAUUUUUCCAUGUUGUUGCUGCUCACCCUUUUGUGGCUAUUGUCCCUGACUAGCAAUACCAUCUGGAUUCUUUAUAUUUUUUGGACUUUGGGACUGCUAGAUACUGACAGGAAGUGUAUCUGGAGCUAUGGAUUUAUUCUGUAGAGUUCAUUGAAAAUUCAAGAAAGAAGCACUGGAAAGCAGUCAAAUGGAUAUUGAGGUACCUAAAAGAAACCUUAGGAAGAGCUAUAUCAUGGCAGUUGAAGUUACAAAUGUAUGUCUCACUAUCUACAACUGAAGCUAAGUAUUUGCGGCUAUUGAAGCUAGCAAGGAAAUGAUAUGGCUCAAGCGAUUCCUUCAAGAAUUUGGAUUGCACCAAAUGGAGUAUGUUAUUUAUUGUGACAGUCAAAGUGCAAUAGACUUGAGAAAGAACUACGUGUAUCACGCAAGAAAAAAACAUAUUUAUGUGAGGUACCAUUGAAUUCCUGAACAAGUGAAAAAUGAAUCGUUCCAUGUUAAGAAGAUUUACGGGAGUGAAAAUUCUGCGGAUAUACUAA